rnacentral:rRNA from 1 species
UGAAGCGGCCCGUCUGGAAACAAGGACCAAGGAGUCUAACAUCUAAGUGAGUGUUUGGGUGUCAAGCCCGAGCGCGUAAUGAAAGUGAACGGAGGUGGGAACCCGCAAGGGUGCACCAUCGACCGAUCCUGAAGUUUUCGGAAGGAUUUGAGUAAGAGCAUGGCUGUUGGGACCCGAAAGAUGGUGAACUAUGCUUGAAUAGGGUGAAGCCAGAGGAAACUCUGGUGGAGGCUCGCAGCGGUUCUGACGUGCAAAUCGAUCGUCAAAUUUGGGCAUAGGGGCGAAAGACUAAUCGAACUAUCUAGUAGCUGGUUCCUGCCGAAGUUUCCCUCAGGAUAGCAGUAACGUAUUCAGUUUUAUGAGGUAAAGCGAAUGAUUAGAGGCAUGGGGGUUGAAACAACCUUCACCUAUUCUCAAACUUUAAAUAUGUAAGAAGCCCUUUGUUACUUGAUUGAACGCGGGCAUUUGAAUGAAACGUUAUUAGUGGGCCAUUUUUGGUAAGCAGAACUGGCGAUGCGGGAUGAACCGAACGAGGGGUUACGGUGCCGGAGUACACGCUCAUCAGACACCACAAAAGGUGUUGGUUCAUCUAGACAGCAGGACGGUGGCCAUGGAAGUCGGAAUCCGCUAAGGAGUGUGUAACAACUCACCUGCCGAAUGAACUAGCCCUGAAAAUGGAUGGCGCUCAAGCGUGUCACCUAUACCCCUCCGCCGGGGCAAAAUUUACGCCCCGGCGAGUAGGCAGGCGUGGAGGCUCGUGACGAAGCUGGGGUACCCCAGUGU